CAUGUUGUGAGCCACGAGGAAGGGGCUCUAAGCCCCUUGGGCCCUCUGGGGCCUCCCAGCCCCGGCUGGGGGGGGCUGCAGGGACCUGGAACAGCAUAAAGCUGGGCUGGGUGCCUGUAGUUAUGCUGGGAGAUGUUUUCUCCAUGGGCGCAGAGCAGCAGCCGGGACUGACCAGAGAAACGGUGGCAGAGAGCCAGAGAUAAGAACCAGAACUGAAGGAGCAGCAGAAGCAACAUGCAGCACCAGAGAAAAGACUCCUGGAAAGGGAGAGAGAGAGAACCAGCAGCUGAGAGACAGAGUUUUGGUCCACAGGUGAGGCCUUCGCUUGGACCGAAGGAGAGCCGAGGGGCUUGGAGACCCCCUUGUGUAUGUUGAACAGAGAUCCAGCUACAGCAACCCAGUUACUGCUGCAUGGAGGACAGAAGAGGAGCUGCUGCUUAAGGACUGGAAGGGAUCUGUCCUUCUUUCCCUCCUGGACUUUUAUUUGGAGGGGAGAAGAGAUCUGAUCAUUGUAAAUACUAUAUGUCAUGGUAGAGAUAGUUGUGAUCGUGUGUAUAAUGUGAUAUGGUAUUUAUUUGUACAGUCAUUGUAAUAUAUUCCCUUUCCCCCAC